AACGAACGCUGGCGGCAGGCUUAACACAUGCAAGUCGAACGGUUGUAGCAAUACAGCAGUGGCAGACGGGUGAGUAACACGUGGGAACCUUCCUAGGGGGUACGGAACAACUCAGGGAAACUUGAGCUAAUACCGUAUACGUCCGUGAGGAGAAAGAUUUAUCGCCCUUAGACGGGCCCGCGUCGGAUUAGCUAGUUGGUGGGGUAACGGCCUACCAAGGCGACGAUCCGUAGCUGAUCUUAGAGGAUGAUCAGCCACACUGGGACUGAGACACGGCCCAGACUCCUACGGGAGGCAGCAGUGGGGAAUCUUGGACAAUGGGCGCAAGCCUGAUCCAGCCAUGCCGCGUGAGUGAAGAAGGUCUUCGGAUUGUAAAGCUCUUUGCCAGGGACGAUAAUGACGGUACCUGGAGAAUAAGCCCCGGCAAACUUCGUGCCAGCAACCGCGGUAAU
rnacentral:rRNA from 1 species